AUCCCGCCUCUCCAGCUCCCUAGACCGCCAGGGGCCGGAUUGCUGCAGCGUGCUUUCUCUUUGCCUCAACUUUUCUCGGCGAGAGUUUUUUUGGCCCAGUGCCUCCCCUAGAAAGCACGUUUGGUGAGAGGGCCGGGAGACACCUCCCAGGCUCUGGAUUUUAUAAUGCGUGGGCAUUGACCUUCACCCCUACCCCUUCCCACACCAUCUCCCCCUUCUGCCACCUUAGUCUUCUUUGUGGGGACCCGGGUCCACACUUCCGGAGGAGGUGAUCCGGAACGCGGUUCAGUUCCCUAGAGCCUAGGGAGGGAAUUGCGCUUUCUCUCUUUAUUCGGGAAAUGAUCCGCUCCCGCGCAAGCCUGCCUGCCUUCCUCAACCUCGGAGCAGCGGCAGGACAGAGGCUGGGCUGGCAGAAACGUCCAGGAACGCCGCUUUUCCACCCAGGGGCCCGCGGGCUCGCCGGGGCUGGAAAGUGUUGAGUGGAGACCUUAGGACUUUUCCCGGACCCCUCCCUCCUUCCCAUCCGGAGGGGAAAAGGCUGCACCCGUGCUGCACGCGCGAGAACAGCGGAGCCUUUCCACCGUUAGGUUCCUAAGAAAAACCUGAGCCGCGCUUCCACCGAAAAGGAGGGAGGGGCUCGUUGACACAGGGGAAGGAAAUGUUUCGUAAUGCUUCCACAGGCGGAAAACCGCGGGGACAAUGCCCUCUCUCACCCCAUUCCGCUCCUCCUUCAACUUGGGUACAUUCAGACACACUCAUCAGGACCCCCAUUCACGUUCACUUUGCCCACCCUGACUCUGCUCGUCUUUGAAGGUAGAAGUUUGCUCCUCUCUGCUUCAUGAGUGCCACGUCCCAAACAUCCCACUUGUCGGUUUAGUUUCCAGAGAUGUUUUAUAUUACCCUCUGCCCCCCAUUACAGAAGGUUGUUUUUUAACAUUCCAUUUUUUUUAAAUGAUUUUGUUUCAUUAAGUUAGAUACUUGGGAGAACGUUUGAGGAAAAGUCACUGUAUACUUACAAGAUACUGACUGUGAUUAGGAAAGCAAGAUGGCAGAGUCAUCAAUAACGUUUCAAACCUCCUGCUGAGAGGGAGGCUUUGAAAACAAUCUAAGGUGACCAGCCCUGGGGACCUCAGAGUGUCUUUGAGAUGGAGAUUUCAGGAACUUGCAGUGGUCCAGGCCGGGGCUGAGAGAUUGAACCGAGGACUAAGGGUAAAUGCGAGUCCCUAGAAUUGGGACACAGAGGGGAAUUUGGAAGACCCGGAAGAAAAUGUGUAAUUUUCUAAAAACUCACGUAAUGUAUUCCACAGUUACCUCCCCUACAUAAACUUUGGCUUUUAGAACACAUAAGUGCAAGCAUGGCCUGCAGUUCAUUUCCGCCCCCAGUGCAUUCCUGUUGGAAGUUUGCUCAAUUCAAGGCAUAGAUUUCUUUUGAAUGCUCUAUUUCAAAUCCAUUACAAUUUUGCCUAUUUCACAUUGUCUAUCCAAAUGGAGCUGGGGGAAAAAAAAGCACAGAGCAUGAAAGGCAAACGGAUGGCCAGGAACAUGACUUUUUUAUUCACCAGGUUUCUCUCCAGAUUUCUGUUCUUUUGCAUAAUGACUCCAGUCUGCCCUGCACCUGUAGUUCUGGGAAAUGAUUCCUUUUUAAUCGCUUCUGCAGAGGCAUGGAUGCAGGAGCUGCCAAUUGCUAAGCUUGAAAAACUCUGUCCAUGCUCUGAAGAACAUUUAAUCCACUUAACUUUUUUUUUUUUUGUUUUUUGACACCAGCACUCUUUGGGCAUUUGUGGUGUUACAUCCAUAUAUACAUAUAGCAUAUGCACCUUUAUUAGCAAAAUUGUGAAUUGAAGAAAAUGUUUUACUGUGGAAACAAGACCAAGAGAAGUAAAAUGUGUCCAUGGCACUAGUAACAAUGACAUGGAAUGUUGGGUCCUUGUUAGUAAUGGUUCAUACUUUCCCCAUCAUAAAAUGUUUGCUCCUCGAUUUAAACAGACACCCAAAAGGACAAAGCUUGUCCUAAGUCCCACCACAUUUCUGGCUUUCUUUUUCUAGAAUACAUGCGUGCUUAUACAAACAUAAUUUUUGGUGUGUUCUACUGUGUAGGCCUUAAGCAGUUUUUAUUCUCUGUGGAGAAGAGCUAACCAAAGUUAAAAUACAGGGCGGGGCGAAAGUAGGUUUAUAUGUGUUCAAAUGGAAAGUGAUAUAAUAAUGAACUGAGUUUCACAUGCUCCCAACCGUAAACCUACUUUUGCCCCGCCCUGCAUUGGAUGGUAGUGUUCUCACAAUGAACAGUUUGACCUUUACAAAGCACUUUUGUCCUCUCUUAACAGAGAAAUGAGAAUGUUUCACGUAUUUUGAAGUACAAGGAACAAACAAGCAUUGAUUUUCACCUAUACCUUAUGUGUUUGUAUGUGUUUUGCUUACUCAUAUAUUACAGGCACAAUAUUCCUAAGUCUUAAGAAGUCCACACCAAAUGAAAUCCAACGAGUAGCCCUGAAAUGAGGGAGUCUAUUAACAUGCAUGUGCUAUUAGCAUGUUUUAGUAAAACUGUUGCCUACACAACUGAUUAAUGCACAUAAACAUGUAAUGCUAUGUAUUCAUAUCUUCAUGCCAUGGGAUUUACCAGUUAGAAAUGGGAAAGCCAUUCAGUGGUCCUUUUGGGAGCGUAUGGUUUAAAGUAAGACCGAACAACUGAAUAUUUCAUUUACUCAUAAAUGAGAGAAUAGAUACAAAACAUGUUAAGCAGCUUAUGUGCUCAGACAUGUAACAAACAUUGAAAACAGAAAAACUACGUGUAGAUUGCAUUUGGACUAUGAGUUGUUAUGACCCCAAACUCACACGUUUGCAAGAACUGAGGCAGGUGUAACCUGUGCCCUGCACUUGCCCUGUUUCACGGAUCAGGAAUUGUGCCUCGAAGGGGACUUGCUUCAAACGAAAACCAAAUUGGGGGCCUAGAAAUGACUCUGACUCAUAAUUUUUAACCAAAUACCUUUUUGGAAUUUUAAUUAUGUAGCUGUUAAGUAUGUUGUCAGAUUUACUAUUGCUGUUGUUUCCAGUGAUUACAUUUCUUUUGAAUUGUGAAGAGUUCUCUGGCAAUAACAAUUCCACCUUAAAAGGUCCGUAGCCUGUAGUACCUCUUUUUGCUUCCACAAGGUGGCGUCGGUCUACAAUGAAUCCUGUGCAACUCAGUUUUUCUUCGUGGUUCCAGUCGGGAAUUGGCAAAGGUGAUUAUACCUUUUCAAUCAUAUUUAAUAACAUUUCAUCAAAUUUUCUCUCACCUUUUGGUAUCAAAAAAUACCUUUUAAACGUUGUCACUUUAAGUGUAUUUACACUCUUGAUGAAAUACCUGAGCCAGCUACUUUUAUUGUGUAGCUCUGUUAGCUUAAACCAAAAAUCAAUUAAAUAAAAAAAACUAAACAAAAAUACCUCUGAUAGGAUAAUAUUGUGGAUCAUUAUUAUUUGUCACAUUUAAGAGCUUUAUGCUAUUCAA